rnacentral:rRNA from 1 species
UACAGAGGGUGCGAGCGUUACUCGGAAUUACUGGGCGUAAAGCGUGCGUAGACGGUAGCGUAAGUCAGAUGUGAAAGCCCCGGGCUCAACCUGGGAAUUGCAUUUGAGACUGCUCUGCUCGGGUGCGGAAGAGGGAAGCGGAAUUUCCGGUGUAGCGGUGAAAUGCGUAGAGACCCGGAGGAACACCAGUGGCGAAGGCGGCUUCCUGGUCUGCGACUGACGCUGUGGCGCGAAAGCUAGGGGAGCAAACGGG